UAUUAUUAUUAUUAUUAUUAUUAUUAUUAUUAUUAUUAUUAUUAUUAUUAUUAUUAUUAUUAAGGGCGACGAGCUGGCAGAAUCGCUGGCGUACAGGACAAAAUACUGCUUGGCUGCAUUUCUUUCUGUUCAUCGUAUUCUGUGUCUAAAUCUUGCCGGAGUUUCAAUUGCAAUUUUUCAUGCUCUUGGGUAUCGAUGAAGUAAAGCGCCAUUCGAGUACUUUGGUUGUUGUAAUCGAUUACACUCCUACUGCAAAAUUUCAGGCCUUUUAACCUAUAGUAGAAAGGAUUGAUGAUAUUAUUAUUAUUAUUAUCUUUGUUGUUGUUGUUGUUGCUGUUUUUGUUAUCAAUAUUGCUAUCAUCAUCAUCAUCAUCAUCAUCAUCAUUACAGACAUACAAACAUACCGAUAGAUACACACAUACAUCCACAUAGAAUUACACUGGCAGAACGAUGGCAUAUCGAACACAUGUCUCCGUUUGGUUCACACGCAAACACAUCCAUCCAUUGGUAUGCUUUGCUUUCAAUGAUAGAAGUUAGAUGUCACGCUCUCGCUUUACACACACGCACUCACACUUGCAGCACGUACACACGCACUUACGCGCGUACAUACACCCGUGCAUAUAUAAUUGAAAUUCUGAUAAUUCCACAGAUGAAACCGCACUAAAACGUAGCUAUAUACUUUCUUUUCACGGGAGUUAAAUAUAUUUUUUUUAAUUUGUACUGUGUGUACACGCGUGCGCAUAUUUGUAAGCCUAUGUGCACAUAUGUACACACACACACACACAUACAAACACUCAUGUAUGUGUUUACGAGUGUGUAUAUAUAAGCAUAUAUAUAUAUAUAUAUAUGUGUGUGUGUGUAGAUAUGCGUGUAUGUAUGCACGCACAAAUACUUACACACGUGUAUAUUCUCUGGGCAUGUGUAUAUAGUAUUUAUUUAUAGAUACAUUCAGCGAAGAAUUCAUUUGUAUGUACGUACAUUCAGGCAAGAGUCUAAUGUGCGCAUGCCUACACGCGUAUAAACAAAAUCCCGCGCUAUGCAAGCAUUACAUAUUUUCAUGCUUUUUAUACGUGCGUACACACAUGCGCGCCCGCACACACGUACACAAACACAUUCACUCACACACACACACACACACACACGCAUAUACAGACACAUACACACAUAUACAGACAGACACGCAAGCAUGCAUUCUCAUACUCGCUCAUUCACUUGCAUAUAUAGGCAUGCACAGACACAUAUAUAUUGCAAACCGGCCAGGUAUUCGUGUCGCCUGAUAUCGAUCCCUUGCGACUGCAUACACCGCCACACAUCGCCGUCGUCAUCAUCUUCAGCAUUAUCAUCCUCACCAUCAUCAAAAUCAUCAUCAUCAUCAACAUCAUCAUCAUCAUCAUCAUCGUCAUCAUCAUCAUCGUCAUCGUCAUCAUCAUCAUCAUCAUCAUCAUCGUCAUCGUCAUCAUCAUCAGGCUAUAAUCACCAACGUGACAAUCAUAACACCGAUGCCAACAGUACUCGAUAUAAUCAUCAUCUAUGAAUCAUUCUUUUCCUCCCACUUCGCCUCCUUCUCUUUCUCUUAUCACUCCUCUUUUCCCUGAUUGUUUUCCCGCUGUUACGAAUGAUGUGAUGUCGUGAUGUACAUUCUUUUUACUGUCAAUGAUUUUUUUUACUCUCGCGCGAAAACUUCCCUGAGAGCUCUCUGACCAGGAACGCAGCUUUAAUUUCUUAGGCAUAUAUAUGUUUAUAUAUAUUUGUGUGUGUGUGUGUGUGUGUGUAUGUGUGUGUGUGUGCGUGCGUGCGUGCGUGUGUGCGUGUGGUGGGGGGGGGGCGCUCUCCUUUAGCGUUUUGUGGUUUUGAUAAGGAUUUCAUGGCACAAGGCCUCAUCAGCAUUUGAACUUAGAACUUAAAGUCGGAAGAAAUAUUUAUAUCUAUACAGUCCUGUCCCAGAACUUUAAGAAUUGUUCUUGCAAAUAAAAUAUGUAUCCGAAUGAUGCUGUCAUUCUUGCGAUAUGUCAGUGUAUAGUUCAGAACAGAACGUGUGAGUUCAAUUCUAAAUCGCUCACGGACAGCCAAUUCAUGUUCGCAGCUAAUAGACCCGUUGUCAUCAGGUAUAAUAACACCUACCAAAUGUGACAUGGAAGGUUGUUUUACAUUGUUACAUAGAUUAGACACAAAAUCCUGUUAUACGCACGCUCACGCACACACAGACACGAGUGGCUGCUCACACACAUAACAACGCUGCCACGCAUAACAGCAUAAUUACAAAUCAUUCUUUUCUGUAAUUCGAUGUGUGUCUAUAUACAAAUGCGUAUGUAUGUAUGUAUGUAAACACACAGACAUUCAUAUAUGCAUAUAUACAUACACAUAUGUAUACCACAAAAUUGGAUAUGCAGCUACGCAUAAAUUUGAACACACAAACACACACACAGAUGCAUACAUACAUAUAACUAUAUAUGAAGGUUAUAGUAAUUAUUUUGUGAUUUAGAAAAAAAAUUAAUUACUUUUUCUACCUUUCGAGAUCCUAACGAAUAUCAAAUUAUUUCUUCGAAUUCAAUUUUUUUUGUUAAUUUUGGUUUUCAUCUGUUUUUCUUUUGUUAUGUAUUUAUAUUUAUUCAUUAUUCACUUAUUUUUCCUUUUUUUUUUUUUUUUUGUCAUUUUUAUAGUCGUUUCGUAAAAGAUCCCAGCAACCGAAGGACAGAUGACGGAGAAAGAUAAAUAACAAGAAAUCAGAACACUAGCAGACAUUUCUGUGUUUGGUGUUGGACAACUUUUGGCAGGAAAAAAAAAAAAAGAAGGAGCCGAGUGGAAUAAAUUUAUUUUGACACGCUACAUUAGUACAAUAGCUACCACUACUUCUACUUCUACUGCUGCUGCCCCUGCUGCAUUAUCAGAAUUACUGAUAAACGAACCAAUCGACUAAACAGACUAACUGACCAAUUGGAAUACAGCGAAAUACUAGGCUGACGAAAGACGGAGACAGUAUCAUAUCAACGGGGCUGGCUCAUUAUUCUCAGAUAACUUUUCAACAGUGAAAAUAAACAUGUUUCACACGCUGGCCAUAUGUGUCGCCAUUUGGAGCCGAGGACAUACAGGUUAGACAACAGAAACUGUUAUAUAUCUUUCACAAUCUAGCUAAAAGAGUCAUGUUCCAUGGUUUCGUACCAUUCUGCAUGUCUCUUCUGACAAAUAAAAGACACGCUGAAAGAACGUUAUUUUAUGCCGAUAAAUUGGCCUUAAAACUAUUUAUAUUGCUC
rnacentral:lncRNA from 1 species